CAGGAGAUCACCAUCGGCCAGCUCAUUCCACACCUGCAAGGGUCAGAUCAAGAAAUCCAAACCUAUACUAUUGCAGUGAUUAAUGCGCUUUUCCUGAAGGCUCCCGAUGAGAGGAGGCAGGAGAUGGCGAAUAUUUUGGCUCAGAAGCAACUGCGUUCCAUCAUUUUAACACAUGUCAUCCGAGCCCAGCGGGCCAUCAACAAUGAGAUGGCGCACCAGCUGUAUGUUCUGCAAGUGCUCACCUUUAACCUCCUGGAAGACAGGAUGAUGACCAAAAUGGACCCCCAGGACCAGGCUCAGAGGGACAUCAUAUUUGAACUUCGAAGAAUUGCUUUUGAUGCUGAGUCUGAACCUAAUAACAGCAGUGGCAGCAUGGAGAAACGCAAGUCCAUGUACACGCGAGAUUAUAAGAAGCUUGGCUUCAUUAAUCAUGUCAACCCUGCCAUGGACUUCACGCAGACUCCACCUGGGAUGUUGGCUCUGGACAACAUGCUGUACUUUGCCAAGCACCACCAAGAUGCCUACAUCCGGGUAAGCAAGAAGCCCCUUUUCAGAUAUUGUGUGUUUCCUACUCAAUGUUAAUUUCAAACUUACAAAUACGGAGGGAUUACCUUUAGAUGAUCUGGCUUUCUUAGUAAACU
rnacentral:sRNA from 1 species